CCACUAGCGUAUAUUAAAGUUGUUGCAGUUAAAAAGCUCGUAGUUGAACUUCGGGGUCUACCCAUUGGUCAGGCUUAAUUGUCUGCACUGGUGAGAUGGAUCUCUACCUUCUGAGGAACUUUCAUGCCAUUUAUUUGGUGUGAUGGGAAAUCAGGACUGUUACUUUGAAAAAAUUAGAGUGUUUAAAGCAGACUAUCGUCUGAAUACAUUAGCAUGGAAUAAUGAAAUAGGACGGACUGAUUCUAUUUCGUUGGUUUCUAGGAUCACCGUAAUGAUUAAUAGGGAUAGUUGGGGGCAUUAGUAUUCAAUUGUCAGAGGUGAAAUUCUUGGAUUUAUUGAAGACUAACUACUGCGAAAGCAUUUGCCAAGGAUGUUUUCAUUAAUCAAGAACGAAAGUUAGGGGAUCGAAGACGAUCAGAUACCGUCGUAGUCUUAACCAUAAACUAUGCCGACUAGGGAUCGGACGAAGUUAAUUUUAUAAUGACGCGUUCGGCACCUUACG
rnacentral:rRNA from 1 species